AUUGAACGCUGGCGGCAGGCCUAACACAUGCAAGUCGAGCGGAUGAAGGGAGCUUGCUCCUGGAUUCAGCGGCGGACGGGUGAGUAAUGCCUAGGAAUCUGCCUGGUAGUGGGGGAUAACGUCCGGAAACGGGCGCUAAUACCGCAUACGUCCUGAGGGAGAAAGGGGGGGAUCUUCGGACCUCACGCUAUCAGAUGAGCCUAGGGCGGAUUAGCUAGUUGGUGGGGUAAAGGCCUACCAAGGCGACGAUCCGUAACUGGUCUGAGAGGAUGAUCAGUCACACUGGAACUGAGACACGGUCCAGACUCCUACGGGAGGCAGCAGUGGGGAAUAUUGGACAAUGGGCGAAAGCCUGAUCCAGCCAUGCCGCGUGUGUGAAGAAGGUCUUCGGAUUGUAAAGCACUUUAAGUUGGGAGGAAGGGCAGUAAGUUAAUACCUUGCUGUUUUGACGUUACCAACAGAAUAAGCACCGGUUAACUUCGUG
rnacentral:rRNA from 1 species